rnacentral:rRNA from 1 species
UACGUAAGUGGCGAGCGUUUAUCCGGAAUUACUGGGCGUAAAGCGUGCGUAGGCGGUUUAGUGUGUGGGAAUUGAAAGCCCGGGCUCAACUCCGGAUCCGGUUCCAAACUGCUAGACUUGAGCGUAUCAGAGGACAGUGGAAUUCCCGGUGUAGCGGUAAUAUGCGUAGAUAUCGGGAGGAACACCAGUGGCGAAGGCGACUGAUCUGGGGUAUUGGCUGACGCUGA